GUGCACCAGUCGCGAAAACUCCGCAAUACACGAAAGCGUGACGGGGCUAUCCCGAGUGCCGUCCGCUGAGGAUGGCUUUUCCCCAGUGUAGACAGCUGGGGGAAUAAGGAGAGGGCAAGUCUGGUGUCAGCCGCCGCGGUAAUACCAGCUCUUCGAGUGGUAGGGAUGUUUAUUGGGCCUGAAGCAUCCGUAGCCGGCUGGGCAAGUGCUCUGUUAAAUCCAGCGAUUCAAUCGUUGGAUUGCGGGGAAUACUGUGCGGCUUGGGGGUGAGAGAGGCCGUCGGUAUUCUUGGGGUAGGGGUAAAAUCUUAUAAUCCCGAGAGGACCACCAGUGGCGAAGGCUGUGGGCUAGAACGCGCCCGACGGUGAGGGAUGAAAGCUGGGGGAGCGAACCGGAUUAGAUACCCGCGUAGUCC
rnacentral:rRNA from 1 species